ensembl:lincRNA
AGCAAGCAAGCAAGGAACAUGAGAGGAGAGGUGCCUUCCGUCUCUCUGUCCUCGUCCUUUCAGGUUUAGGACCUGCUGGCAGGAUCCUGACGUCGCAGCUCGCGACAGAAAAACACAUACUGGAGGAAGAGAUCCUUUCAAAAGUAAACUGGAAAUGGUGCAUAAAAGUCAUCUCAAAGUCUCCUCUAGGGCCAGGAGCUUUCCCUGAUAAUUUGCUCAGCUGCUAAGGGAAGUGGACUCGACUUCAGCCGAGUGUUGUGUAAAUGCAUUCUGUUUAGAAAAGCAGAUCUGCAUUUAUCUCCUAAUUGGAUGUUGCUGUGAAAAUAUGAAGCCCUCGAAGAGGCAACAACUGUUUCCCUCCUCCCUUCCCAGUCCCUCUUUCAUAUUCUGAGCUGUUCUGGGUCCCCUUUCCUUUGGAGAAUACACAUUCUCCUUGGAUAAAUGAUGUCUCUGUGAACAGAGUACAAAAUAGAUGCAGUUAGAACCAGCUUUGCCUGGACACCUGAAAGCUAGAUUUAAGAACUGCUCAUGUCUGUAGACACCUGAACCAAAAGCAGAACGGUGAAAAGGAAGAAACCUUCAUGAAGCAGAACAGCCAGAUCCUCAGAUGUUUCUAAACUGCCUGGAAGGAGCUCUCGGGAAUUCCACAGCCAUGGUGGGAAAGGUGCCCAAAAGGAUCCCCGAGGCCCCGAGGAGCAAGGGCUGUGUCUGGUGUCUUCUGCAUCCGAAAGUCUCUCCUUCCUCUUCUGCUCUGCUUCCACCUUUACUGGGCAGCUGCAGUGGACGUGGUGAAAGCCAAGGACCAUGCUCACAGCCUUUCUUGGACCAACAUGGAUUUUCAGGAUGUCUCCUGCUCUGCUCCAGGUCUUUCUUGUGCUGCUUCUACUUUCUCAGAGAAGGCGUUGGAAGUUUUGUCUAGCGGGUGCAGUUGAGCCAAUGACUUUAUCAUCUCCUGUCAGCUUCUGUGCCCAGAGUCAGAGGUGGGGGCCCUUCCAGGAUUCUGGAACAGCACUAAUACAGAGAGGUCCUCUGCUCAAACUGGCAAAACAUCCUGUCCUCAAGAUGUUUGGACUCCUUGGAGUUAGCAGUCUUCCACCUCCCAGAGUCAACUCCAGCCGACAUCGGUCAGUUGGAUCUCAAGAAACUCCACAGAAGUAUAGGUGUUAUUUUGGCAAGUCAAAGCCUCUACAUAGGGGAGGAGGGAGUGAAGGGAGGGCAGAGGUAAGGAGAAAAAAUGAGAAUCAAGACUUGUCAUGUAGAGGUACAAGAUCCCAACAAUGAAUGUAACUGUACUGUAUCCCUAAAAUGUACCAAUAAACUCAAUUAAGGCUGAAAAAAAAAAAAAAAAAGAAAAGUAUACUUCCAGGUCUCUUGUUUUCCAGACUCUAUUAAAUUCUCAGCCUCCUAGCAUAGUGACAUGUCCACCAGUUCCAUGACCAGCAUAGACGCUGGUCCAUUUGGAAUGCCUCAAAAAUAGUUGUAUGAUCAGUGAAUGAACUGUUUUCUCAAAAAUAAAAAAAUGUCAGGAAAAAAUGCUGAAUUAGUAGGUAGUUACCCUUUAGUAGUGAGGAAACCAAAGAUUCUCUCUCCCUUCCUCUCUCUCUCUCUCUCUCUCUCUCUCUCCAUUGUGUGUGUGUGUGUGUGUGUGUGUGUAUGUGUGUGCCAGGGAUUGAACUCGAGAACUUGCACUUGCAAGGCAGGUGGUGACAUUGCUGAGCUAAAUCCCCAGUCCUAUAAUUUUCAAUAUUUGACUAAAAGUUAUAGGAACAAUCACAUUUUCUGUUUAAGUAAAAUAGCAUAUUUGUACAGAAAAGUGUUGUCAUAAGGCCUUUUCAGAAAGGGGGAAAAACUCUCUGUAUUGCAAACAACAUUGCACAGGAGUUACUGAAAGUUGUACACAUUAUUAUACAAGCAAGUUAGACCUGCAGUUUGGAUAAUUGUGACAUUAUUUCUUAGCAAUAUCUAUGGCUGGGCUUUUUUUCUCUAAUGCUACAUGUUCAAUGGAUGUAGCUGGGUCUGAGAUAUAAAUGGUAACCUGUUGUAUAUAUUUAAUUAUUCAACUUAAUUAUUCAAUUAAAAAUGUAUGAAGUACCC